UACGUAGGGUGCGAGCGUUGUCCGGAAUUAUUGGGCGUAAAGGGCUCGUAGGCGGUUUGUCGCGUCGGGAGUGAAAACCCAGGGCUUAACCCUGGGCUGGCUUCCGAUACGGGCAGACUAGAGGUAUGCAGGGGAGAACGGAAUUCCUGGUGUAGCGGUGAAAUGCGCAGAUAUCAGGAGGAACACCGGUGGCGAAGGCGGUUCUCUGGGCAUUACCUGACGCUGAGGAGCGAAAGUGUGGGGAGCGAAACAGG
rnacentral:rRNA from 1 species